rnacentral:rRNA from 1 species
GGCCGGGCAAGACCGAUGCCAGCCGCCGCGGUAACACCGGCGGCCCGAGUGGUGAUCGUGAUUAUUGGGUCUAAAGGGUCCGUAGCCGGUUUGGUCAGUCCUCCGGGAAAUCUGAUAGCUCAACUAUUAGGCUUUCGGGGGAUACUGCCAGACUUGGAACCGGGAGAGGUAAGAGGUACUACAGGGGUAGGAGUGAAAUCUUGUAAUCCCUGUGGGACCACCUGUGGCGAAGGCGUCUUACCAGAACGGGUUCGACGGUGAGGGACNAAAGCUGGGGGCACGAACCGGAUUANAUACCCGGGUAGUCCCAGCCGUAAACGAUGCUCGCUAGGUGUCAGGCAUGGCGCGACCGUGUCUGGUGCCGCAGGGAAGCCGUGAAGCGAGCCACCUGGGAAGUACGGCCGCAAGGCUGAAACUUA